UGGGGAAUAUUGCACAAUGGGCGCAAGCCUGAUGCAGCCAUGCCGCGUGUGUGAAGAAGGCCUUCGGGUUGUAAAGCACUUUCAGCGAGGAGGAAGGUGGUGAGCUUAAUACGCUCAUCAAUUGACGUUACUCGCAGAAGAAGCACCGGCUAACUCCGUGCCAGCAGCCGCGGUAAUACGGAGGGUGCAAGCGUUAAUCGGAAUUACUGGGCGUAAAGCGCACGCAGGCGGUUUGUUAAGUCAGAUGUGAAAUCCCCGGGCUCAACCUGGGAACCGCAUUUGAAACUGGCAAGCUAGAGUCUCGUAGAGGGGGGUAGAAAUUCCAGGUGUAGCGGUGAAAUGCGUAGAGAUCUGGAGGAAUACCGGUGGCGAAAGGCGGCCCCCUGGACGAAGACUGACGCUCAGGUGCGAAAAGCGUGGGGAGCAAAACAGGAUUAGAUACCCUGGUAGUCCACGCUGUAAAACGAUGUCGAUUUUGGAGGUUGUG
rnacentral:rRNA from 1 species